AAUACAACAUGAUCAGAUAUUAGCAACAACAAGUUAUUCGUUCGUCUACAUCACCAUUCUUGUUCAUAUUUACCAAUAUCCCUACUAUAUAAAGAAAAGAAAUAUAUAUUUUAAAUUUGUCAUUAUACAAGAUCUACGCUGCUUACUAUGAGAUAGCAUAUUACCACAAAUUAAACUUUGUAUACAUGAACAAGAAGUCAAUGAAGGAACUAGGGCUGGCUGUUGAAUUCUUCAAAGGACAUGAUGUCUAGCUUCUGACCGAUUAUAUUUGGAAGAGUGGUGUUU